UACAGAGGGUGCGAGCGUUAAUCGGAAUUACUGGGCGUAAAGCGUGCGUAGACGGUUAUUUAAGUCGGGUGUGAAAGCCCCGGGCUCAACCUGGGAAUUGCAUUCGAGACUGAAUAGCUAGGGUACGGUAGAGGGAAGCGGAAUUUCCGGUGUAGCGGUGAAAUGCGUAGAUAUCGGAAGGAACAUCAGUGGCGAAAGCGGCUUCCUGGACCAGUACUGACGUUCAGGCACGAAAGCGUGGGGAGCAAACAGG
rnacentral:rRNA from 1 species